GAUGCAAACUCUGAUCCAAACGUUUUAUGGCAAACCUAUAUGGGUGCCUCAGAGGCAUGGGCAAGUGUGGGCCCAGAGGAAAUCCCCCGGAUGCUCGCUCACUCACUCGCUCGCUCACUCACUCACCCCCUUGUUCUCCAUC
rnacentral:snoRNA from 11 species